UUGUAUCUAGGUAUUGAUAAAGAAGUCAAAACAUUUAAAUAAAAGUGAAUGACUUAGUCAACAAAAGAAUGCUUAUCGUGCAGUGUUAUGCAGCAUAUAUUUUAGUAUAGGAAUUGUUAAUAGACAGUAUUCAGGUAACAGAAAAGUACAUAAACCUAUUUGUACAUGAAGCCCUUGAAAUAAAAAAUAAUCAGUUCACGAAACUUUCAUGUUUUAAAAUAACAUUUAAUGGCGAAUUUUGUUCUACCACGUUAGAAAUGGUUUAUUUUAGCUUCACAUCUAUGAUUUUUGUUAUUAUCUCUAUAGAAAAUUCUAGAAAAGUAAAGGGUUGUGUGUAUACAAAAUGAGUUAGAAAAGAAUUCAUCUUCCUGAGCUAUAUGAAAUGAUGUAUACAACCAACACAUGUGAGCCAAAGCAGAAAUUCUGAAACUAUUUUUUUUUAAUUUUUAUGUAUUAAUUGUGCAGUGCAGUUGAUGGAGUAGCCUAUAUAUAUUUAGCUCAUUUGAAAUAAAUGGAAAAAAAUAGAGCUACAUCUUAACAUUUCCAUUUGCAUGCCUUCUUUUGAAACAUCUAUCAUAAAUGUAUAGUAGAAAGAUGAAAAUACCUAUUUUUAGAUGCAAGAAGAUAUGCCUAAUUUUUCUGCACCAUGUUAUUUCCAUCUAAUUACUAAUAAUCACACAUAACCAUAUAUAUAUGAAAAUAAAUGUACAAAUUCAAGACACACAUUCCAAAUGAGGAUAUAGCUGUUAUCUCCUUUUAACAUGCUUCAAUACUCAUAUUCACCUCACUGCUUAUCUCUGGGAGAUAUUCUAUGACUUUAAGGAAGAAAUAGUAACUUAGGAGUAAAUCAUAGUGACUUUGGGGAAUUAGUUCCAUGAAUUUUCAAAUAAAAAGCCAUUUUGUGUGUGUGUAUGUGUGUGUGUGGUGUGUGUGUGUUCUCCAUUCAUCUGCAAGCCCCUCUCACAGUACAGGAAACAUUGUCUUCUCUCCUACCUAUCUCACACGCAUCACACGAUCCAUCUGGUAUUUUAUCCUGCCUUAGUAUCACUCCAGGGUAGGGCCAACAAUAAAAGGUAAAAUAAUGAAAAUAAUAAUGACUAACACCAUUGAGUUCUUACAUGCACAAUGUAUUUGCUUCUAGUGUUUUGCAUUUAUUAUCAUGUUUAAUUCUCAGACAACUUUAUGAAGUUGAUAAUAUUAUCACUAUCCUAAGAAAACUAAAGAACAACUUGUGAGGCAAGAUUAAUAUUGAUCUGGGUAAGAACAAUGGGAUAGAAAGAGGAGAAAUAACUCUGUGAAGCUGAUCUUCUUUUUAUUUAUU
rnacentral:lncRNA from 1 species